AUCUUUUAUGUGUCAUAAUCAAGAUGAUUGACUUUUCAUACAAGUGUGUAAAACAUGCUUUUCUCAAACCUUGUUGCAACAUCAGUACAUUAUUUACCUGACA